rnacentral:lncRNA from 1 species
CAGGCAGAGGAGGCGCUGAGAGCGAGCAAGGGCUCUGAGGACUGUCAGCACGCUGUCACCUCUCACUAUUGUGAGACUUCACGUUGUGAUGGUCAAUCUAUCUAACAGCCUGUGGAUGAGGUCAAAGGAAAGAGGGAAGAAAGGAGAAAGGGGAGAAGGAAAGAACUUGAGGCUUUGAUGACCGUUGGAAUGCAGAGAAGCUAUGAGAAAAGAGCUACAAGAGAAAAAUGGCAGCAUUGCAAAGUGCAAGAACACUGAAGGGAUUAAACAGCAUUCUAGAAAACAAGACAGACCAUGAAGAGUAUGGGAAGAAACAGGAAGGCCUAUUUCCCGGUACCAUACCCAGAAGCUGUAUAAUAGGGACAACUUGCAGGCUGAGGUGCUCUCUGUGUCCUGACAUGUCAGAUUUGGGAAAUGAGUGAAGCAGGCACAUGACCAAAUAGCCAAGCCAUUCACUACUGCCAACAGUUGACUGACAGCCUUUCUUCAGACACUUCUUCUUCUAUACAAAGUGUUUGACUGAAUUUGCUCAUCACCCUGACCCCUUGGAGGAUUUAUUUUCAUUCCUAUUCUUCAGACCACCAUGAAUUGAUUUGUCAAGUGGCAGCAUUGGCUAACACUCGUAUAUGCAGCAAACCCAUCUGUGACCUAGAUCUCAGUUUCUUUACUUCUUCCCAAGCAAGUUAUAGAACAAACUCAUGUGUCCAUAGAAGUGAGAUGGGGAGGCAUCGGUUCGACAACAAUAGGAGAGAUAGGGAUUUGGGCAAUCUAGUGCUGGAACUUACAUGUGUCCUCAAUAUCUGCUUAGACCUGAUUUCCAAAGUAUCUUUUCAGUGUAUGAUGGCUUGCUAUUUUACCCACCAAACUAUGAUUUGGCAGAUUUGAUAAGACUCAGUUCAUCGUAGGCAGCUAUAUUCCCUUAAUCUCCUAUUAUCAGUCACCCAGUCUCUGCUAAAAGCCAGCUUUUCAAAUGAUCCGUAGUUCUUGGAUGUUAAAGGAAUGGCUUUACUCCAAAAUCACAGUGGCCUAAGCUGAAGCUUUCCAAACACAACUAAGGAUCUUUAACUUUUAGUACAAUUAACACAUUUAACAUUAUGUAUUAGUCCAUUUUCACGCUGAUGAUAAAGACAUA